GCUGGGAUAGCUCAGUUGGUAGAGCAUGAGACUCUGAAUCUCAAAGUUGUGGGUUCUAUUCCCACGUUGGGCA